UUACGUCCAUAUCACUUUAAAAUACCGGUUCUCGUACGAUCACCAAAAUUAAGCAAAGUUGAGCCUGGUCAGUAUCUAGAUGGGCGACUCUUUGAGAAUACUAGGCGCUGUAA